rnacentral:rRNA from 1 species
AAGUCGAGCGGGUUCAGAGACUUCGGUUUCUGAGCGAGCGGCGAACGGUCGCGUAACACGUAGGCAACCUGCCCGAAAGACCGGGACAACUCUCCGAAAGGGGGGCUAAUACCGGAUGCGGUUCCUGGGAGGCAUCUUCUGCGGAACUAAAGCGUCGCGAGACGGCUUUCGGAGGGGCCUGCGGCCUAUCAGCUAGAUGGAGAGGUGACGGCUCCCCAUGGCGACGACGGGUAGCUGGUCUGAGAGGAUGGUCAGCCGGACUGGGACUGAGAGACGGCCCAGACUCCUACGGGGGGCAGCAAUUAGGAAUCUUGCGCAAUGAGCGAAAGCUUGACGCAUUUUUUUCGCGUGGAGGAGGACGGCCUUCGGGUUGUAAACUCCUUUUGAGUGGGAAGAAGACAGUGACGGUACCACUCGAAGAAGCCCCGGCUAACUCCGUGCCAGCAGCCGCGGUAA